UUAGGGUUUCCCUAAUGGUAAGUUGAUUUAGGAUGAUUUAGCUCUUAAUUUUUCUAGGUAUUCUUAAUCUUAUCUCUUUUAAUGAUUUCGAUUCUCAGUUUUGUAUUUUAAAGAUCUAUUGAACAUAAUUGUGUUUUAUUUUUUAUUUUUCAGUAUAUAAUCGUAGUCCUAACAAGUUAAAUUUGGGUAUUGGUGCUUAUAGAACUGAGAUUUGUCUAGGGUUUUAAUUCUGUAUUCAAUUUUGAUUUCCUUGUCAUUUUUUUUUCUGAUGAAAACUGCUCUUAUUAGGUUUCACUUUAUUGGAUGGUAAAACAUAUGGCCAUAAAGAGUCUGAUUAUACAUUCUAUUUAGUUCUAAUAGUGUGGUUUCAAAACGUGUAAUGCCACUGAUGACUUAUUCCUUUGCAAGAUGGUGAGUAGUAUUUUAAUAUAUUUUUCUGUCACAUUUCAUUAUAUAUACAUGCCAUCCUUUGAUGCAAGUUCUGGUUUGGAUUUCUAUGAGACUAAGAAGUUGAUACGUAUUAAAAUCGUAGAGACCAUUAUGUGAUUCUGGAUGUGGAUGGAACUAUUAUCAUUUUACUUAAUGUUCAGAUGUUAUGUUUUUCUAAUAUCUAUAUUCAUUUGUAUGAGCACAUUUAUUAAUUUGGGAGGGUGCUUAGUCUGAAAUGAAUUCUGUUUUCUUUCCAUGGUUAACUUGAGAAAGUGAUUCUACUUUAAACGUUUCAUUUCUGCGAUACUAUGGAGUAGCCUUGUUGACAAGCUUGAAUAUUUCUUUUGGUUGGUUCCUUGACCAACAGCUUAGAAGAUACAUGAGGAGCUUAAUGCGACAAGGUAGAACACAUCUCACAACACGAAUAAAAAUUCACAUCAAAUGUUUGAUAAAAAGUUUGAAAGAAGGCUGUCGUUGGUGAUAAUUUGAUGGUGAAGCUGGUGGUUCUGCAGCUGUUUAUGGGUGGCGGUUGUCUAUCUCGGUAGCUUUGGUGAUAGUUGCUGGACCUUCUCUCGUUGGAGGUGAACUAUUGAUACUGGAGGUGAUGGUGGUUGGGUUACUUAGGAUUGAGUUGAAGCUGAAAUGAUUUGUUGCAUGUUCUGCCGUGUGUCCAUGGUAUUCUGCUUUGGUUGUUCACAUGUAAAUUCUAGGUAAAUAAAGAUCAUAAUUGCUUAAUUAGUGUUUCUCUAUUUCUUGUUUAUAAUGUUUUUUCAGCCACUGAUUCUAAGAGAAAUGCUAGAGACUCUCAUUAUCCACAAUUUUGGCACCUCUUCCAAUUUGGUUUGCUGUGUUCAUGGUUCACUUAGCUACUAUAUUCCAAUUACGGAAACCGGUAUAAAUCCCGCUAGAAGUUUUGGAGCUGUUGUUGUCUACAACAAAGAGAAGGCAUGGGAAGACAUGGUUGUGGUGCAGGGGAUCUUUUGGUUCGGACCUUUCAUAGGUGCUACUUUUGCUGCGAUAUAUCACCAGUUUGUUCUAAAGGGUGGUGCUGCUAGAGCAUAUGGUUCAAUUAGGAGCCAGAUGAGAGACAUAGCGAGCAAAGUGAAAAAUCAGCGGAUCAAGUAAAGAGGGGGUUUAAUUGUGGUAAGUUGAUUGGAUUUGGUGAGCUUGGUGGUCCCUCUUUAUCUACUGUUGAUGGGCACAGAAGAAAAAUGUUAAGAAAGAUGCUGUGGAAGAAAAUCUAGCAAGUGAUUUCUUCAAUUGAUUAUGGAGGUGAGAGAUAUGAGCAGCUUGAGUUCCAUAAGAAAGUUUCUCAACACUAUGAGAUGCUUCAUCAUGCAUGGAAGCUGAAGUUGCCGAAAAACAAGCUCUUUCUGCUUCAUCCAAAACUGCAACCAAAAUGGUUAGCGAUAGGUGAGGAUGCUCAAAAGAAUCUAAACAGGCACUUAAAGAAGAAAUGCUCUUGUCUGGUCUUAAAGAAAGCAGCUGAGGGCGAACAAAGAUAACCUAUCCACUCUCAUGGUAUGCUUAGUUACAAAAUAUGUUCAUGAUAUUUGUGAUACAGAGAAUUUGUAUUCCCUUAGGAUAUAGGAAUGAACCUAUAAUGAUUUAAGUGAGAAUGAACUCAACUUGUGAAGUUUUUAUCUUUAUCUGUUCCCUUAGAACUUUUUUGGUACUUCCAAGAAUUUGUAUUCUUUUUUGAUAUGAAUCGAGUGAACAUUUGAUAUAAAUUGAAUGGAAUAUUGU